GACGAACGCUGGCGGCGUGCUUAACACAUGCAAGUCGAACGGGAUGAUUUAGAAGCUUGCUUUUAGAGAAUCUAGUGGCAAACGGGUGAGUAACACGUAGGCAACCUGCCGACAGGAUGGGGACAACAUUCCGAAAGGAAUGCUAAUACCGAAUGAAGCGCAGGAGAGGCAUCUCUCCUGCGUGAAAGAUGGCCUCUAUUUAUAAGCUAUCACCUGUCGAUGGGCCGGCGUCUGAUUAGCUGGUUGGGGAGGUAACGGCUCACCAAGGGGACGAUCAGUAGAGGGGAUGAGAGGAGGUACAGGAAAAUUGGAACUGAGACACGGUCAGGACGCCGACGGGAGGCAGAAGGGGGGAAGAUUGGAGAAUGGGCGGAAGACUGAUCCAGAAAUACAGAGUGGGUGAAGAAGGCAUUUGGGUUGUAAAGUACUUUUGUUGGGAAAGAAAAGCAGAAGGUUAAUAACCCGCUGUUCUGAGGGUAAAAAAAGAAUAAGAACGGGAUAACUUCGUG
rnacentral:rRNA from 1 species